rnacentral:rRNA from 1 species
AUCCCGCAAGGGAUCAGUAGAGUGGCAAACGGGUGAGUAACACGUGGGUGACCUGCCUCAGAGCGGGGGAUAACGACCCGAAAGGGUCGCUAAUACCGCAUGACAUCCUGCUUUUGGAGAAGCGGAGAUCAAAGCCGGGGAUCGCAAGACCUGGCGCUCAGAGAGGGGCCCGCGGCCGAUUAGCUAGUUGGUGAGGUAACGGCUCACCAAGGCAACGAUCGGUAUCCGGCCUGAGAGGGCGGACGGACACACUGGGACUGAGACACGGCCCAGACUCCUACGGGAGGCAGCAGUGGGGAAUUGUUCGCAAUGGGCGCAAGCCUGACGACGCAACGCCGCGUGGAGGAUGAAGAUCUUCGGGUCGUAAACUCCUUUCGAUCGGGAAGAACGUUUUCCGGAUGAACA